UCCACAAGAGGCCUAGAAGACAGUACUGCCGGUGAACUGUUCAAACAGGCCUGACAACAGGGGACCUCAGUGCUGCACGUGACUGUUUUCAACAUCAUUGGCCAAAGUGCAACCAGGUCAAGUACUGCAAAUAUUUGUGAUUAGGAGGAUUCUUUCCUCUAAAACUUGCCAUGAGAUAGUUUUGCAAAAUAUAAAUCCUAGAUCAGGGUGAUUGUCAAGAGCAGUCAGCCUGGGAUCCUCUGUGGCCCCAGAAGUAAGGGAAUCAUGUCACCGGCUAAGACAACAAUGAGAGAGACCCUCUCUCUGCUUAGGGCUGGAGGAUAAGGCAGGGUCAGUUCUGCUCAGGUGCCCUGUUAGCUCAUGGCUGCUUAAGCAGAAAGUUAGCUUCAGCUGCCUCAGCACGCAGGCCGCUCCUCCUCUUCACCAGGGAGUAAGACAAAUGAUCUAACAUCAAGGAACACUCUUAAGCAUGCUGAAGGACACAAUAACAUCUCCAGGCAUGGCCUUUAUUAUAGUGUAGUAGGUUGAAUAAUAGCCACCCAAAUAUACCCAGUCUCAGUGCCUGGAAUUUUUAUGUUACCUUUUUGGAAAAAGGACUUGUGUAGCUGUAAUUAAGCUAUGCAUCUUGAUAUAGAGAGGCCUCCCUAAAUGAAAUGAGGAGGCCCUAACACCAUUACAAGUAUUCCUACGGGAGAAAAACAAGGAGAGAUAAUGCCCCCAGAGAAGGGGGCCAUGCAAAGUCUUCACAUACAGAGGCGGCCAGUCAAUCAAGGGUCGCCCACAACCACCAAAAGCUGGGAAAAGCAAGGAAGAGAGCCUCCCCUAGAGCUUCCGGGGGAAGCAUGGCCACCCACACCUGAUGUAAGACUUCUAGCCUCCAGAACUAUG
rnacentral:lncRNA from 1 species